UACGUAGGGUGCGAGCGUUGUCCGGAAUUACUGGGCGUAAAGAGCUCGUAGGUGGUUUGUCGCGUUGUUCGUGAAAUCCCACGGCUUAACUGUGGGCGUGCGGUCGAUACGGGCAUCACUGGAGUUCGGCAGGGGAGACUGGAAUUCCUGGUGUAGCGGUGAAAUGCGCAGAUAUCAGGAGGAACACCGGUGGCGAAGGCGGGUCUCUGGACAGUUCCUGACACUGAGGCACGAAGGUCAGGGGGAGCAAACGGGG
rnacentral:rRNA from 1 species